AACGUUGGAACGACUGCUAAUACCCGAUGUGCCGAGAGGUGAAAGAUUUAUCGUCUGAAGAAGGGCUCGCGGCUGAUUAGCUAGUUGGUAGGGUAAAGGCUUACCAAGGCAACGAUCAGUAACUGGUCUGAGAGGAUGAGCAGUCACACUGGAACUGAGAAACGGUCCAGACUCCUACGGGAGGCAGCAGUGGGGAAUUUUCCGCAAUGGGCGAAAGCCUGACGGAGCAAUACCGCGUGAGGGAGGAAGGUUCUUGGAUUGUAAACCUCUUUUAUCAGGGAAUAAAAAUGAAGGUACCUGAUGAAUAAGCAUCGGCUAACUCCGUGCCAGCAGCCGCGGUAAUACGGAGGAUGCAAGCGUUAUCCGGAAUUAUUGGGCGUAAAGAGUCCGUAGGUGGAAGUUCAAGUCUGUCGUUAAAGAAUGGAGCUUAACUCCAUAGAGGCGGUGGAAACUGAACAACUAGAGUGCGGUAGGGGUAACGGGAAUUCCCAGUGUAGCGGUGAAAUGCGUAGAUAUUGGGAAGAACAUCGGUGGCGAAAGCGCGUUACUGGGCCGAAACUGACACUGAGGGACGAAAGCUAGGGUAGCGAAAGGGAUUAGAUAC
rnacentral:rRNA from 1 species